rnacentral:rRNA from 1 species
CACGUAGGGGGCAAGCGUUGUCCGGAAUCAUUGGGCGUAAAGCGCGCGUAGGCGGCCAGAUAAGUCCGGUGUGAAAGUCAAAGGCUCAACCUUUGAAUGCCGCUGGAAACUAUCUGGCUAGAGUCCGGAAGGGGCGAGUGGAACUCCUGGUGUAGCGGUGAAAUGCGCAGAUAUCAGGAAGAACACCUAUGGCGAAGGCAGCUCGCUGGGACGGUACUGACGCUGAGGCGCGAAAGCGUGGGGAGCGAACAGG